CUAGAUGGAUCAACAAACUUGAUAGCUUGACUGCUCUAGAGAAGAACAUCGAAACCACUUGAAAAACACAUCAAACAAAAGAGAUCUUGGUUUUAUUCUGUGCUCGUCAUCAACUAUCCCCAAGGGAACGAAGAGCAUCGUAAGAAAAUUACGUACAAAGUGUGACUUUGGCUCAAAAUCUCUGCUCGUGUGAGUGUGUGUUUGUAGCAGCAGCAGUGCCCCCAAAAAAUCUUUUUUCCAAAUCUUCCUUGUUGCCCAUUUGAUCCAACUCCACCACUCAUUUCCUCUCCCAUUCUCAAAGCUUUCUAGAGAUCUCACUUCUUAUACUCUGGAGGUGGCGGCGCAAAAGGUGGCGGCGAUGGAUAUUGGUAGUAAUUAUCUGGUGACGAUGGUGGUGGUGGUGGAGGCGGCGGAGGUGGCGGGGAGUGAUAAGGCGGGGGUGGAGAUGGCGGUGGCGGCGAGAAAUAGUAGUGUGGCGAUGGAGGAGGCGGUGACUCGUAGUGAUACUGUGGCGCCGGCGGCGGAGGCGACUUCCCAGGAGGCGCCGGCGUUGGCAUCCACUCGUUAUCGCACGGCGGUGACGGUGGCGGUGGUGAGUGGUAAACAGGCGGCGACGGUGAUGGUGGUGGUGGGGAGGGAUAGACCAGGGGAGGCGAUGGCGGCGGUGGUGAGGGGUAAAUGUGGGCCACUGGUGGUGGUGGUGAGGGUGAUGGCGGAGGAGGCGAGGGGUAAAUCUGUGGCGGCGGUGGCGAUGGUGAAGGCGGAGGUGGUGGUGGGGA
rnacentral:lncRNA from 1 species